rnacentral:misc_RNA from 1 species
ACGAGUUAGGGUCUUCUCAGGCCCGAUCUCCCAACCCUUUGUUUACCGAACCACCGUUGCUUCGGCGGGCCCGUCUUCGCUGACCGCCGGGGGACUGCUCAAACCGUCCUCUGGUCCGCGCCCGCCGGUGGCCAACUUCAACCAAAUUCUUCAAUAACCGUGUCUACUGAGUACCAUAUCAAAAUUAAAAGCA